GAGAUCUUCCACUCAGUUCCAAACUCCUUAGCCCAACUUGCCUGACCCGCCGGCCAACCCACUAACCCACCUCAUUUAUACCUUUUAAUCUACACCCUUCAUCCCUUUAAUCUAACAACCCACAUCAAUUCUACACAUCAUAUAUAAACCUAGUUAUAACCCAAAUCCCUAACCCUAAAGACUAACCAAAUGACGCCCCCCAUCUCCCACUCUUCUGUCGCAUCUCUUCCACUCUCAAACUCGUCGUAACUCACAAACCUGGCGAGUUCACUCAUUGGUCCCUCCAUGGUCCUCGCUCUCUUAUCUUCUCCUUCUUCCACAUCACCUACCCGUACAAACCUCAUGAUUCCUUAACUGAUUCACGCGUUUUUUUCACUCUUUUGUUUUUGUUGAAACGAAUCCGAAGCCCUUUGAUAAAUAUUAGAAAAAUGGUAGCCAUUGGAUUAAAGUUUUGAUCCAAGGGCUUCCAUUUUUCUGAUUUUUAAUAGAAAAAUGGGAUUUUUGGAAUCUUUUGGAGGCCCACACGUUUUCUUGGAGAGCAAGGGAGAAGAUUCUGGGAUCUAUAUAUAAUAGGCUCAUUUUUGGUUGUAAGGGGGUUUUCAGAGAAGAAAUUUCGAGAAAAGUAGAAAAAAAAAUUAGGGUUUGGUCUUAGGCUUUAGAGGUCUUCUGUUCAUCUGAUAUUUGACGAAAGUUUGAUCCAAAAAUUUUUGUUUCUUUCUAUUUCCUUGUUUUUAUUUCAAAAGUCAGAGAAAACAAAAAUAAAAAAAAAGUAUACGAAAAUUUCUGUUACUUCUUUCAAUUUCGAUUUCUGGUGUUCAAACCAGGAAGUUUGAGUCCGAUCAUUUUGGGUUCCGAUCUGCGGUUCUGUGUCGCCUCAGAUUCUCAUCGCUGUAUUUGCUGUUCCAGGUCCCUUCCCUAUCUUUGUCUUAAUUUGAAUUAUUGUGAAAAUCAUAAUGAGAGUUGUUUUAAAAUGGGAAUAAAUUUUUUUUAUUUGGUUUUGAAGUUCAAGAAUUCUUUUGUUCCCUGUUUGCUUAGAGUGUCUACGUCUAAUUUGAGUUUAAUGUUCGACAUUAGUAUCUGCUAUGGUAUCUUGUUUCUUUAUUGGUUUCUUUUCCUUAUUAGAAUCUAAUUUAGGGUAAUAAUUUGACUUCAUUUACUUCCUUAGUCGUUGCCUACAUGAGUUCUUAAACAUGAUUCCCUUACCUUAUUUUAGUUGUGAUAACUUAAUACUAAAUUGGUAAAGUUUAGGCAGUGUUACAUGAGUUUAGUUGAUUAAGGAAUCGUAAGGAGUAGACAUUGCAUAUAAAUAUGUGUGUGUGUAUAUAUAUACACAAAAGUGUUGUAAUGGUCUAAUAACUCAUUAUAUGGUUGCUUUGCCUUUGGAUAUUGAAAUUACAACCGAAGAUGGCAGGAGGUUGACUAUUUUCUAAAUUUGCAUGGUCAAAAGUCAUGAAAUUGGAUUAGCUAAUAUUAAUGAGUUUUUAUUGUUUGACAUGAUAGUAUACUAUCCAUGUCUUAUAAUUAUAGAUGGCGGACUAAUGAGCUUGGAUCAGUUUUUUGUUCCUUUCUUUCUUUUCAGUCUAAUUAAUUAGCUCUUUCUUCGUUUCAUGUCUUUGAUUGUUACUGUUUUACUCGUUUGGUCUUUGUUGAAGUUGUUUGACUGAUUGAUGGGCCAGGGAGGGUGAAAUCACAAAUGAACUGAAGAUUGAACAUGAUCAUGGAAUAUCUCUAUUUUAACUUAAUUUUUACUUUUCUUUCAUAAUCGCUAGGAGCAUGUUUAGGCCAAUCACAUUUGGGUAGGCAAGCCUUAGGAUUUUCGUUGGUUUCAAGGCGAGAGGUCGUUCCCUUAGUUAAAUUUAUUCGGGGAAUGUCUCGAAGGAUUUGUAUAUAUUUUAUUCCGUGGUAUGCCUCGAAGCAUUUAUACUUGGAGAUCGAUAGUAGAACUCAUAAUUUUUUUUAAUUUUUCAUUUUUUUUUCUAUUAAGUGGGGACGACCUCGAGCCUCGCGUGCUUAUUUUUCUUUCCCGUGAUUUUACCUCAACUUGAAUAUUUUAAAAGCCAACUAGAUCGAGUAUGCAACCGUACUAGUUACGGGACUUGGGGAGUGCCUAACACCUUCUCCCCGAGUUAAAUGAACCCCCUUACCUAAAUCUCUGGUGCAAACUUAGUUUUAGAGUCCAGAGUAUUUCAAAAGGAAAAAUUAUUUUUAAAACAAAAAAAACGGUGACCUGGCGCACGAAACCAAUGUCAGGUGGCGACUUUGAAUUAUUUCCUUUUGAACACAAAUUUUUUUCACUUUCUAAAUGAAAACCUUUUUGAGCUUCAUAAAUCUUUUUAAUAUUUUUAAGAAGGUUAGUGAAGUUGGUAAAACUAUAUGGGAUGUCGAGAUCAAUCUUGGGUACCUUUGGGCUUUUUAUUCGAUAGGUUUGCUCGUCCUACUGGGUAUAAAACCUUUGUAGAUGAAUUUUUCAUAUCAUAUGAUUCUUGGAGGAAAAGGCGUCCUAUGGUUUUCGCUAUUGCAUUGUUGGGUCUCAUGGUAUUCCCUUUGGAGGGUAGACAUAUUAGCACACGUCUGGGGUCAAUAGCCUUUGUACUUUUCCAUGAUAAACACAGUAGUAAGGUCACCUUGGUUCCAACAAUUUUAGCAGAGAUCUAUCGUGAUUUGACCAGGAUUCGAGAAGGCGAGAGGUUCUUUGAGGGAAACAACUUGUUGCUGCAGCUGUGGAUGAUGGAACACUUACAUCUCGCCAUCAUGUUUGAGAAAGAUGUGAUUGACCGUUGUCUGAGAGAUCGAGUGAAGUGCAUCGAGCAUAGAAUGACGUUCGAUAAGUUUGCCUUACCACUCGGAGUUCAGGCUUGGGUUGAUUACUUAGGAUCCUUGACUGAAGAGAAGAUUUUGUGGUCAUACCUUUGGAUUGAUUUGGAUGUGAUCUUAGCGGGAUCUCGCGUGCAAGACUUCUUGGUACUGAUUGGACUUUGGUGUACUAGACCAUAUACCCCUGCUAGAGUGAUGCGUCAGUUUGGAAGGCGGCAAGAAGUCCCCUACAUUCCUGAUUCUCGUGACUUCAUUAGGGAAUUUGACACUAUGCCUCACAGGGAGGUCGACAUCCAGACCUCUUGGCGUCAUGCAAUGAAAAUGGGUAGGGAUACUUUAGCAGCUGACCUACAUUCACCUGGGUAUACCCAUGAGCACUUCAUAUGGAUACAGUCUACUCAGUAGGGGGUUAGCAGGCCAUUGCCCCGACAUGUUAUAGGAGUAUUUGACGAGGAGGCCACCUCACAGAUAUUGCUUAGAUAGUUGAUGGAUCGAUUUACCCAGGCAGAGGAGGCCCAUGCAGCAGAAAGGGUUGGGGUUCGAGCUACACUUCAGUCAUUGAGAUCACAGUUGGCAGGGUUGGUAGAGAACAUGUGACAUCACUGUGAGUACCUUACUUGAGUCAGCCUUCCAGAUGCAGGCGCGCAUUCUAGGAUUCUCAUUCCUAGUUUCGAGGUAUCUUUGCAGGGUAUAAUACAGAGCUUAGAUUCGACAGCAAAGAUGGGCAGCUGUAAGCACGUAAUUUUUGACUCGCGCACUGUUAAAGUUAGUUUGGUAUCUUUAGUUUUUUAAUAUAUUUACUUGAAUUAUUCUAAUUAGGUUCUAAUCUACUCUUAUUUUAAAUUUUAGAAUAUAAAGUCCAAAACACAAGGAUAGUUUUAUUUAUAAUAUUUCUCAUCUUAUUAUAUUUUUCAUUUUAGUAUAAGAUCAUCAACAAUUCUAUAGUGAUAUUAAUUUAGCUUUACCAUGACUUUUAAUCUACUCUUUCUUAAUUUUAUUUUAAUAUAAUGUUUGAAAAUAUUAAAAAAAAGUAUAAUAAUAAAAAUAGUUUUAAUAGUUUAUUUAAUUAACUAAGAUUAGUUAAUAUGUUUGUAGGAUUUUUAUUUUUAUUUUCGUUUUAUUUUUUUCUGUUUUGGUUCAACAAGAAUUUCAUAAGGCCCAAUCCAGAUCUUCCACUCAAUUCCAACACCCCUUAGCCCAACUUGUCUGAUCCGUCGGCCAACCCACUAACCCGCCCCAUUUACACCUUUUAAUAUACACCCUUCAUUCCUUUAAUCCAACGACCCACAUCAAUUCUACACAUCAUAUAUAAACCUAGUUAUAACCCAAAUCCUUAACCCUAAAGACUAACCAAACGGCGCCCCAUCUCCCACUCUUCUGCCGCAUCUCCUCCACUCUCAAACUCGCCGGAACUCACAAACCCGGCGAGUUCACUCGUUGGUACCCCCUCUCAUAUCUUCUCCUUCUUCCACGUCACCUACCCGUACAAACCACUUGAUUCCUUAACUGAUUCACGUGUUUUU
rnacentral:lncRNA from 1 species